AAAGAAUUAGUUAAAUUAACAUUAGUUUGUCAAACUAAAGUUAUUAGUUAAAUCUAAUAUUCUUUA
rnacentral:tRNA from 1 species